GAUGAACGCUGGCGGCGUGCUUAACACAUGCAAGUCGAACGGAUUUAACAGAAAGCUUGCUUUCGGUUAAAUUAGUGGCGGACGGGUGAGUAACGCGUGGAUAACCUGCCGUAUAUAGGGGGAUAACACUUAGAAAUAGGUGCUAAUACCGCAUGACACAUUCGGAUGGCAUCACCUGAAUGUCAAAGAUUUUAUCGCUGAAAGAUGGCCUCGCGUCUGAUUAGCUAGUUGGUGGGGUAACGGCCCACCAAGGCGACGAUCAGUAGCCGGACUGAGAGGUUGACCGGCCACAUUGGGACUGAGAUACGGCCCAGACUCCUACGGGAGGCAGCAGUGGGGAAUAUUGGGCAAUGGACGCAAGUCUGACCCAGCAACGCCGCGUGAAGGAAGAAGGGCUUUCGGGUUGUAAACUUCUUUAAGUGGAAGAGCAGAAGACGGUACCACUUGAAUAAGCCACGGCUAACUACGUC
rnacentral:rRNA from 1 species